rnacentral:rRNA from 1 species
UACGAAGGUGUCUAGCGUUGUUCGGAAUCACUGGGCGUAAAGCGGGCGCAGGCGGACUAUCAAGUCAGGGGUGAAAUCCCGGGGCUCAACCUCGGAAUUGCCUUUGAAACUGAUAGUCUGGAGUGUGUGAGGGGGUAGCGGAAUUCCGAAUGUAGAGGUGAAAUUCGUAGAUAUUCGGAGGAACACCGGUGGCGAAGGCGGCUACCUGGCACACAACUGACGCUGAGGCCCGAAAGCGUGGGGAUCAAACAGG